UGGCUCAGAUUGAACGCUGGCGGCAGGCCUAACACAUGCAAGUCGAACGGUAACAGGAAGCAGCUUGCUGCUUUGCUGACGAGUGGCGGACGGGUGAGUAAUGUCUGGGAAACUGCCUGAUGGAGGGGGAUAACUACUGGAAACGGUGGCUAAUACCGCAUAACGUCGCAAGACCAAAGAGGGGGACCUUCGGGCCUCUUGCCAUCAGAUGUGCCCAGAUGGGAUUAGCUUGUUGGUGAGGUAACGGCUCACCAAGGCGACGAUCCCUAGCUGGUCUGAGAGGAUGACCAGCCACACUGGAACUGAGACACGGUCCAGACUCCUACGGGAGGCAGCAGUGGGGAAUAUUGCACAAUGGGCGCAAGCCUGAUGCAGCCAUGCCGCGUGUAUGAAGAAGGCCUUCGGGUUGUAAAGUACUUUCAGCGGGGAGGAAGGUGUUGCGGUUAAUAACCGCAGCAAUUGACGUUACCCGCAGAAGAAGCACCGGCUAACUCCGUGCCAGCAGCCGCGGUAAUACGGAGGGUGCAAGCGUUAAUCGGAAUUACUGGGUGUAAAGCGCACGCAGGCGGUCUGUCAAGUCGGAUGUGAAAUCCCCGGGCUCAACCUGGGAACUGCAUUCGAAACUGGCAGGCUUGAGUCUUGUAGAGGGGGGUAGAAUUCCAGGUGUAGCGGUGAAAUGCGUAGAGAUCUGGAGGAAUACCGGUGGCGAAGGCGGCCCCCUGGACAAAGACUGACGCUCAGGUGCGAAAGCGUGGGGAGCAAACAGGAUUAGAUACCCUGGUAGUCCACGCCGUAAACGAUGUCUACUUGGAGGUUGUGCCCUUGAGGCGUGGCUUCCGGAGCUAACGCGUUAAGUAGACCGCCUGGGGAGUACGGCCGCAAGGUUAAAACUCAAAUGAAUUGACGGGGGCCCGCACAAGCGGUGGAGCAUGUGGUUUAAUUCGAUGCAACGCGAAGAACCUUACCUGGUCUUGACAUCCACAGAAGAAUCCAGAGAUGGAUUUGUGCCUUCGGGAACUGUGAGACAGGUGCUGCAUGGCUGUCGUCAGCUCGUGUUGUGAAAUGUUGGGUUAAGUCCCGCAACGAGCGCAACCCUUAUCCUUUGUUGCCAGCGAUUAGGUCGGGAACUCAAAGGAGACUGCCAGUGAUAAACUGGAGGAAGGUGGGGAUGACGUCAAGUCAUCAUGGCCCUUACGACCAGGGCUACACACGUGCUACAAUGGCGCAUACAAAGAGAAGCGACCUCGCGAGAGCAAGCGGACCUCAUAAAGUGCGUCGUAGUCCGGAUUGGAGUCUGCAACUCGACUCCAUGAAGUCGGAAUCGCUAGUAAUCGUGGAUCAGAAUGCCACGGUGAAUACGUUCCCGGGCCUUGUACACACCGCCCGUCACACCAUGGGAGUGGGUUGCAAAAGACGGUAGGUAGCUUAACCUUCGGGAGGGCGCUUACCACUUUGUGAUUCAUGACUGAAGUGAAGUCGUAACAAGG
rnacentral:rRNA from 1 species